CUUGAUGGUGGCUGUGCGCAUGGCGCCUUCGGGUGCGCCGGGAUUUGGUGGGGUUGCCCGGUCUACUAACUUGCGUACAGCCGCCACCCUU
rnacentral:antisense_RNA from 1 species